UAGGGAAUAUUGCGCAAUGGAGGAAACUCUGACGCAGCGACGCCGCGUGGGUGAUGAAGGCCUUCGGGUCGUAAAGCCCUGUCGGAAGAGAAGAAAAACGGAAUGGCUAACAUCCAUUCCGCUUGACGGUACCUUCAGAGGAAGCACCGGCUAACUACGUGCCAGCAGCCGCGGUAAUACGUAGGGUGCUAGCGUUGUUCGGAAUCAUUGGGCGUAAAGCGCGUGUAGGCGGUUGGUUAAGUCGGGUGUGAAAUCCCUGGGCUCAACCGAGGAAGUGCAUCCGAAACUAACUGGCUAGAAGACGGCAGAGGAAGGUGGAAUUCCUAGUGUAGAGGUGAAAUUCGUAGAUAUUAGGAGGAAUACCGGUGGCGAAGGCGGCCUUCUGGACCGUUCUUGACGCUGAGACGCGAAAGCGUGGGGAGCAAACAGGAUUAGAUACCCCUGUAGUCC
rnacentral:rRNA from 1 species